rnacentral:rRNA from 1 species
GAUGAACGCUAGCGGCAGGCUUAAUACAUGCAAGUCGUGGGGCAGCGCAGGUAGCAAUACUGGGCGGCGACCGGCAAACGGGUGCGGAACACGUACACAACCUUCCGAGAAGUGGGGAAUAGCCCAGAGAAAUUUGGAUUAAAUACCCCCGUAACAUAACGAUGUGGCAUCACAUUGUUAUUAUAGCUUCGGCGCUUCUUGAUGGGUGUGCGGCUGAUUAGAUAGUUGGCGGGGUAACGCCCACCAAGUCUACGAUCAGUAGCUGAUGUGAGAGCAUGAUCAGCCACACGGGCACUGAGACACGGGCCCGACUCCUACGGGAGGCAGCAGUAAGGAAUAUUGGUCAAUGGACGCAAGUCUGAACCAGCCAUGCCGCGUGAAGGAUU